UACGUAGGGCGCAAGCGUUAUCCGGAAUUAUUGGGCGUAAAGAGCUCGUAGGCGGUUUGUCGCGUCUGCCGUGAAAGUCCGGGGCUCAACUCCGGAUCUGCGGUGGGUACGGGCAGACUAGAGUGAUGUAGGGGAGACUGGAAUUCCUGGUGUAGCAGGUGGAAAAUGCGCAGAUAUCAGGAGGAACACCGAUGGCGAAGGCAGGUCUCUGGGCAUUAACUGACGCUGAGGAGCGAAAGCAUGGGGAGCAAACAGG
rnacentral:rRNA from 1 species